rnacentral:rRNA from 1 species
GUGCACCAGUCGAGAAACUUCACACUGUGCGAAAGCACGAUGAGGGAAUCCCAAGUGCUUGCACGUAAGUGUAAGCUGUUUCUCUGUCUAAAACGCAGAGAGAGUAAGGGCUGGGUAAGACGGGUGCCAGCCGCCGCGGUAAUACCUGCAGCUCAAGUGGUGACCGUUAUUAUUGGGCCUAAAACGUCCGUAGCCGGUUUAAUAAAUGCCUGGGUAAAUUGUGUAGCUUAACUAUACGAAUUCCGGGUAGACUGUUAAACUUGAGACCGGGAGAAGUUAGAGGUACUCCUGGGGUAGAGGUGAAAUUCUGUAAUCCUAGGGGGACCACCAGUGGCGAAGGCGUCUAACUAGAACGGGUCCGACGGUGAGGGACGAAG